GACGAACGCUGGCGGCAGGCUUAACACAUGCAAGUCGAACGAGUGGCGGACGGGUGAGUAAUGCUUGGGAAUCUAGCUUAUGGGGGGGGAUAACUACUGGAAACUGUAGCUAAUACCGCGUACCCUAGUAUGAGCCCAAGUGGGAUUAGGUAGUUGGUGAGGUAAAGGCUCACCAAGCCGACGAUCUCUAGCUGGUCUGAGAGGAUGACGGGCCAAACUGGGACUGAGAAACGGCCCAGACCCCUACGGGAGGAAGCAGUGGGGAAUAUUGCGCAAUGGGGGAAACCUGACGCAGAAAGGCCGCGGGAAUGAAGAAGGCCUUCGGGUUGUAAAGUUCGUUCGGUAGCGAGGCGUUAACUACAGAAGAAGCACCGGCUAACUCCGUGCCAGCAGCCGCGGUAAUAC
rnacentral:rRNA from 1 species